GCAUUGGUGGCUCAGUGGUAGAAUUCCCACCUAUCAUGCAGGAGACCCAGGUUCGAUUCCCGGCCAAUGCA